CUCGAAUGGCUUUGUAAAGUUGUGCAAAGAAUUUGAUUGGUUUUGGUAUUUGAUUCUCGUUGGACUAAAAUGCCUGCUUGCUUUCAAAUGGUCGCAGAUUUUGAAUGCUGGUGAACUGAGUUUUCCGCUCCACAAACCGUUUUUCUUUUCUUUCGUUUCAUUUUGAAGAUCGGAUAGGGUAGAAACAGAGGUAGAAACGCGAACCAUGGACUCGCACUUAAUCAACAUAUUAAAUUUUUUGUACUCUAUACUUACUGUUUCCGGAAUACAUAAAAAAAUUAUGAUAAUAUACAAAAACAUGACUGAGUGAGAUUUAUUUUAUUGACAACUGAAAAUAAUAUAAUAAAUAGACAACCCUAAUAAUAUUAUUUAAUCAACAAAGUUUGAUUUUGUGCCUUUAUUAAAUUCUUCUUUAGUUGUGAGCUAAUUUAUUUUUUAUCUUAUUUUUAUAAGAAUAUGACAUAUUUUUUUAAUUAAAUUAAAUCUAUCUUAUUUACAUUUAUUGUUAGGAUAAAAGUUGGUUUUAGGAUCUACUACAACCAAUAUGUUAUAUAACUGCGAAGGUUAUGUAUAUGAUUACGUAAUAAUAGAUAAAUUAUAAUUCAAUUUUUAGUGUAUUUUAUCUUGUUGUUCAAACUAAAUUUUUACAUGUUAUUUACUCUAAAUUUUAUGUUCAAAAUACUACAAUUUAAAAAAUAUGAUAAUAAUAUGCAUGAGUGUUACACCUGCGUUAUGUUUUAGUAGUAAUAAAAUUUUAAAGAAUUAAAAUUAAAAUACAACUUAGUUUUCAAAAUAAAAUGAAGUAAAUAUAAUUUGUGAAUAAAAUAAAAAAAGGGGAUCUAUUAAUAGUUCUAUUCCAUAAAAAAAUUUAAAUUAAGAAAUUAAUAAAAAUGGAAAUGGUAAGUUGCUAAAAUAUAGUUCAGUUUUUAACAUAAUAUACAAAAAUGUCAAUCCAUUGUGAAAUCAUAUAAGAAAGUGACCAAUUUAGAGUGUUUGAAAUUCUGAAUGAUGAUAUCUAUAUAACUACUUAAGUUAACUAGCACUUACCAUAACCACAUGUAAGUUAACUAGCACUUACCAUAACCACAUGUACCAAAUAUACACUAGAAAACAAAAAUGGUAAAACUAUACAUUAAUGAUGUUGCAUACUUCGAGCUUGCUUCUUAGUUUUUUAAACUUUAAUUUCUAUAGACCCUUAUUAAAAAUGUCUGUAAGUUGAUUCUCGGAGCUGCAAAGAACAAGCUGAAUUUUACUUUUUCUUUCGACUUCUCUAAUAAAGUGAAUUUAACCUUCACAUAUUUUGUCUUUUCAUGAAUGACAAUAUUUUUAACAAUUGUUACAAUAGAUUUAGUCACAUAAGACUCUAGUUGCACUUGUUUGCUCAAACUUCAAAUCUUUAAGAACGUUUUUAAGCCAUAUAGUUUGAUUAAUAAUUGAGUUAGUAGUCGUAUACUCUGCUUCAGUUAUGAACUGUGCUAUUAUGUCUUGGUUGUUUGAGUUCUAACUCACUAUACCAUACCUAAUAAAGAAAAAAAAGCUUGAGAUACUUUAUAUUGUUAUGUGAGCCAACCUAAUCAUAGUCACUAAAUCCCAAUAGCUUAUCACUAAGUUGAAUUUACAAGAAAUGACAUCUAAUUUGAUUUUUCUUUCUAACAGAUUUGACAAAUUUUGUUAGUUUUUCUCAUAAAAGGCAUACUAAUCACAAGACCUCGAGUUCUCAUUUAAUUCAAAAGUUCUAGUCUUUUAUCAUAUCAUGAGGUUGACUCCAUUCAAUAUUAAGCUUCAUGCAUCUUAACUUUAAGUAACUUCAUCACUAAAUUUAUUAAAUACCUCAUACAUUGUAUUAUGGAAGAUUAGAAGUAGAAUUUUUUUCUAGCAGUUCUCCAAUACCUAGUAAAUUAUGACAUAAUUCAUGCGCACAGAGAAUAUUAGAAUUAAUUUCGUACUUAAGAGAGUAUUGAUACUAGCUACACCUCUUCCACAAACUUAAACAUAUUACCAUCACCAAUUCCUACUUUUGAAGUAUAACUUAUAUAAAGGCUUUUGAAAUUUUGUGCAAAAUCAAAAGACAAAUUUCAUACUUGAUAGAAGAGGCAAAAGACUCAAAUCACCUGCCGAAUCUUUUUUAAAGACAAGAUGAUAUGAUACAUAAAAACUAUUCGCAAUAAGUCGAAGAAUGGUGCAUUAGAUCUGGUAGCUUGUAGAGGGAAUUAGAUCCAGUCAAGGCCACCCUUAGGCUUAGGUACAACCUUACUCGUGCUUGAUUUGUGAGUUUGUCUUUGAUGGAAAGAAGUUUAUGCUGUCUAAAAAGAAGUUUAGAGAGCGAAGGAACGCUGGGAUUCAGAGAGUUUAAUCCAGGGCAAAAAUCAACCAAAGAAAUAUAGUUCAGAUAGACUGGGAAGAUAGUUUUCCUACUCCUCUUUAUUGAUGGUGGAAACUUUUAAAAAAUGACAAUGAAACUCUUCUCUUGAAUUUAACUUCAAAAAAAAUAAAGUUUAAUGCAGUUCGAAUAAAUUGAAACCAAAUAAUAAAUGACUAAUUAAUGUAUGAAAUUUUUUUUAACCUAAGAUUAAAAUUAGAAUAAUUUCAAUAUAAGUUUAUUGAAUUUGUUCAUGCAAAAUCCUUAUGCUCUAAUUUUAUUUAUUACAAAUUUUAAAUUUUAUUAUAUGAUAUAA
rnacentral:lncRNA from 1 species